UGCUAUCGGGGUUCGAUUAAGCCAUGCGAGUCGAGAGGUGCAAGACCUCGGCGCACUGCUCAGUAACACGUGGACAAUCUACCCUGAGGAGGGGGAUAACCCCGGAAAACUGGGGAUAAUACCCCAUAGAUUAGGGAGGCUGGAAUGCCCCCUAGUUCAAAGGUCCGCCGCCUCAGGAUGGGUCUGCGGCCGAUUAGGUUGUUGUUGGGGUAACGGCCCAACAAGCCUUUGAUCGGUACGGGUUGUGGGAGCAAGAGCCCGGAGAUGGAUUCUGAGACACGAAUCCAGGCCCUACGGGGCGCAGCAGGCGCGAAAACUUUACAAUGCGAGAAAUCGUGAUAAGGGAACCCCGAGUGCCCGUAAAUUCGGGCUGUCCAUCAGUGCAAAAAACUGGUGAAGAAAGAGCCGGGCAAGACCGGUGCCAGCCGCCGCGGUAAUACCGGCGGCUCGAGUGGUGGCCACUAUUACUGGGCUUAAAGCGUCCGUAGCUUGGUUGUUAA
rnacentral:rRNA from 1 species